AAGCGCUGUAAUUUUGAAUCCUCCCUGUGACUGGUUAAUUUGCGCUCUUAUGUUUUUGCUAAUUUCAUUUUCUUUAUCUCUUACUAAUUGUGCGAGUUUAAUUGCAGCUCACACUGGUGGGAGUCCAUGCUGCUUUACCUUUGUCACCUCAGCUUUACUGGAAUUCCAGUCCUGUCAAACACACCAAUGCCGAAAGCUAUCAGUCAACUAGCCCAGCGCGGUUUUCACUUUCGCACGAGAAGAAAAUGAGGCAACAACCACGGAACAAGCUUGGCUGUUGCUAGCCUAGUGAUUGCUAAUUACGUGACAAAAAGUUAAAAAAUCGCACCAAAAAGUAAAAAAUUAUGACAUACUGUUUGUCACGCUUGUAGGAAUAGCUACCCCAGAAACAAUCACCUGGCUCCGUGGCUAUUUCCCUUUUUUCUUGCAGUGUUCGCAUGUAGCUCUUGUUUCUACUUUGUAUAGUUGGAAGAAUUCCAUUUUGAAUUUAUUUGCCUUUGCUUAAAAUGAAGUUGCGGUUUUUGAAGAGUA